GUGAAGAGCCGAUGGCUGGCGUGAGACGUGACGUUACCCAUGGCGGGUGCUGA
rnacentral:snoRNA from 1 species